rnacentral:snRNA from 1 species
AUGCUCACUUUGGCAGCAUAUAAUACUAAAAUUGGAACAAUACAGAGAAGAUUAGCAAGGCCUCUGUGUAAGAAAGUUUAAUAAAAAUUUAGAAAAGAAAGAAAAUAAU